rnacentral:rRNA from 1 species
UACGUAGGGAGCAAGCGUUGUCCGGAUUUAUUGGGCGUAACGAGCUCGUAGGUGGUUCAGCAAGUCGGGUGUGAAAGCUCUGGGCUCAACCCAGAGAUGCCACCCGAUACUGCUGUGACUAGAGUCAGGUAGGGGAUCGCGGAAUUCCAGGUGUAGCGGUGAAAUGCACAGAUAUCUGGAGGAACACCAGCGGCGAAGGCGGCGAUCUGGGCCUGUACUGACACUGAGGAGCGAAAGCGUGGGGAGCGAACAGG